UACGAAGGGGGCUAGCGUUGUUCGGAGUUACUGGGCGUAAAGGGCGCGUAGGCGGCGCACCAAGUCAGGCGUGAAAGCCCUGGGCUCAACCCGGGAAUUGCGCUUGAGACUGGUGUGCUUGAGUACGGGAGAGGAUAGUGGAAUUCCCAGUGUAGAGGUGAAAUUCGUAGAUAUUGGGAAGAACACCGGUGGCGAAGGCGGCUAUCUGGACCGUAACUGACGCUGAGGCGCGAAAGCGUGGGGAGCA
rnacentral:rRNA from 1 species